GGUUAAGCGACUAAGCGUACACGGUGGAUGCCCUGGCAGUCAGAGGCGAUGAAGGACGUGCUAAUCUGCGAUAAGCGUCGGUAAGGUGAUAUGAACCGUUAUAACCGGCGAUUUCCGAAUGGGGAAACCCAGUGUGAUUCGUCACACUAUCAUUAACUGAAUCCAUAGGUUAAUGAGGCGAACCGGGGGAACUGAAACAUCUAAGUACCCCGAGGAAAAGAAAUCAACCGAGAUUCCCCCAGUAGCGGCGAGCGAACGGGGAGAAGCCCAGAGCCUGAAUCAGUGUGUGUGUUAGUGGAAGCGUCUGGAAAGGCGCGCGAUACAGGGUGACAGCCCCGUACACAAAAAUGCACAUACUGUGAGCUCGAUGAGUAGGGCGGGACACGUGGUAUCCUGUCUGAAUAUGGGGGGACCAUCCUCCAAGGCUAAAUACUCCUGACUGACCGAUAGUGAACCAGUACCGUGAGGGAAAGGCGAAAAGAACCCCGGCGAGGGGAGUGAAAAAGAACCUGAAACCGUGUACGUACAAGCAGUGGGAGCCUCUUUAUGGGGUGACUGCGUACCUUUUGUAUAAUGGGUCAGCGACUUAUAUUCUGUAGCAAGGUUAACCGAAUAGGGGAGCCGAAGGGAAACCGAGUCUUAACUGGGCGUUAAGUUGCAGGGUAUAGACCCGAAACCCGGUGAUCUAGCCAUGGGCAGGUUGAAGGUUGGGUAACACUAACUGGAGGACCGAACCGACUAAUGUUGAAAAAUUAGCGGAUGACUUGUGGCUGGGGGUGAAAGGCCAAUCAAACCGGGAGAUAGCUGGUUCUCCCCGAAAGCUAUUUAGGUAGCGCCUCGUGAAUUCAUCUCCGGGGGUAGAGCACUGUUUCGGCAAGGGGGUCAUCCCGACUUACCAACCCGAUGCAAACUGCGAAUACCGGAGAAUGUUAUCACGGGAGACACACGGCGGGUGCUAACGUCCGUCGUGAAGAGGGAAACAACCCAGACCGCCAGCUAAGGUCCCAAAGUCAUGGUUAAGUGGGAAACGAUGUGGGAAGGCCCAGACAGCCAGGAUGUUGGCUUAGAAGCAGCCAUCAUUUAAAGAAAGCGUAAUAGCUCACUGGUCGAGUCGGCCUGCGCGGAAGAUGUAACGGGGCUAAACCAUGCACCGAAGCUGCGGCAGCGACGCUUAUGCGUUGUUGGGUAGGGGAGCGUUCUGUAAGCCUGUGAAGGUGUGCUGUGAGGCAUGCUGGAGGUAUCAGAAGUGCGAAUGCUGACAUAAGUAACGAUAAAGCGGGUGAAAAGCCCGCUCGCCGGAAGACCAAGGGUUCCUGUCCAACGUUAAUCGGGGCAGGGUGAGUCGACCCCUAAGGCGAGGCCGAAAGGCGUAGUCGAUGGGAAACAGGUUAAUAUUCCUGUACUUGGUGUUACUGCGAAGGGGGGACGGAGAAGGCUAUGUUGGCCGGGCGACGGUUGUCCCGGUUUAAGCGUGUAGGCUGGUUUUCCAGGCAAAUCCGGAAAAUCAAGGCUGAGGCGUGAUGACGAGGCACUACGGUGCUGAAGCAACAAAUGCCCUGCUUCCAGGAAAAGCCUCUAAGCAUCAGGUAACAUCAAAUCGUACCCCAAACCGACACAGGUGGUCAGGUAGAGAAUACCAAGGCGCUUGAGAGAACUCGGGUGAAGGAACUAGGCAAAAUGGUGCCGUAACUUCGGGAGAAGGCACGCUGAUAUGUAGGUGAAGCGACUUGCUCGUGGAGCUGAAAUCAGUCGAAGAUACCAGCUGGCUGCAACUGUUUAUUAAAAACACAGCACUGUGCAAACACGAAAGUGGACGUAUACGGUGUGACGCCUGCCCGGUGCCGGAAGGUUAAUUGAUGGGGUUAGCGCAAGCGAAGCUCUUGAUCGAAGCCCCGGUAAACGGCGGCCGUAACUAUAACGGUCCUAAGGUAGCGAAAUUCCUUGUCGGGUAAGUUCCGACCUGCACGAAUGGCGUAAUGAUGGCCAGGCUGUCUCCACCCGAGACUCAGUGAAAUUGAACUCGCUGUGAAGAUGCAGUGUACCCGCGGCAAGACGGAAAGACCCCGUGAACCUUUACUAUAGCUUGACACUGAACAUUGAGCCUUGAUGUGUAGGAUAGGUGGGAGGCUUUGAAGUGUGGACGCCAGUCUGCAUGGAGCCGACCUUGAAAUACCACCCUUUAAUGUUUGAUGUUCUAACGUUGGCCCCUUAUCGGGGUUGCGGACAGUGUCUGGUGGGUAGUUUGACUGGGGCGGUCUCCUCCUAAAGAGUAACGGAGGAGCACGAAGGUUGGCUAAUCCUGGUCGGACAUCAGGAGGUUAGUGCAAUGGCAUAAGCCAGCUUGACUGCGAGCGUGACGGCGCGAGCAGGUGCGAAAGCAGGUCAUAGUGAUCCGGUGGUUCUGAAUGGAAGGGCCAUCGCUCAACGGAUAAAAGGUACUCCGGGGAUAACAGGCUGAUACCGCCCAAGAGUUCAUAUCGACGGCGGUGUUUGGCACCUCGAUGUCGGCUCAUCACAUCCUGGGGCUGAAGUAGGUCCCAAGGGUAUGGCUGUUCGCCAUUUAAAGUGGUACGCGAGCUGGGUUUAGAACGUCGUGAGACAGUUCGGUCCCUAUCUGCCGUGGGCGCUGGAGAACUGAGGGGGGCUGCUCCUAGUACGAGAGGACCGGAGUGGACGCAUCACUGGUGUUCGGGUUGUCAUGCCAAUGGCACUGCCCGGUAGCUAAAUGCGGAAGAGAUAAGUGCUGAAAGCAUCUAAGCACGAAACUUGCCCCGAGAUGAGUUCUCCCUGACCCUUUAAGGGUCCUGAAGGAACGUUGAAGACGACGACGUUGAUAGGCCGGGUGUGUAAGCGCAGCGAUGCGUUGAGCUAACCGGUACUAAUGAACCGUGAGGCUUAACCUU
rnacentral:rRNA from 1 species